UACGUAGGGUGCGAGCGUUGUCCGGAAUUACUGGGCGUAAAGAGCUCGUAGGUGGUUUGUCGCGUUGUUCGUGAAAUCUCACGGCUUAACUGUGAGCGUGCGGGCGAUACGGGCAGACUGGAGUACUGCAGGGGAGACUGGAAUUCCUGGUGUAGCGGUGGAAUGCGCAGGUAUCAGGAGGAACACCGGUGGCGAAGGCGGGUCUCUGGGCAGUAACUGACGCUGAGGAGCGAAAGCGUGGGGAGCGAACAGG
rnacentral:rRNA from 1 species